rnacentral:rRNA from 1 species
UACGUAGGUGGCAAGCGUUAUCCGGAAUUAUUGGGCGUAAAGCGCGCGCAGGCGGGCUAGUCAGUCUAUCUUAAAAGUUCGGGGCUCAACCCCGUGAUGGGAUGGAAACUACUAGUCUUGAGUAUCGGAGAGGAAAGCGGAAUUCCUAGUGUAGCGGUGAAAUGCGUAGAUAUUAGGAAGAACACCAGUGGCGAAGGCGGCUUUCUGGACGAAAACUGACGCUGAGGCGCGAAAGCCAGGGGAGCGAACGGG